UACGAAGGGGGCUAGCGUUGCUCGGAAUCACUGGGCGUAAAGGGCGCGUAGGCGGACUCUUAAGUCGGGUGUGAAAGUCCCGGGCUCAACCUGGGAAUUGCAUUCGAGACUGCAUUGCUGGAGUACGGAAGAGGAGGGCGGAAUUCCCGGUGUAGCGGUGAAAUGCGUAGAUAUCGGGAGGAACAUCAGUGGCGAAGGCGGCCCUCUGGUCCAGUACUGACACUCAAGUGCGAAAGCGUGGGGAGCAAACAGG
rnacentral:rRNA from 1 species